UGGGUUACCUAGCAACCUAACUCUUUCUCCACACUUCAAGCCGUCAAGAUCUGCAUUAUAGCACACUUUCGACGGCAAUAAUUAAGGAGAAACCACCGAAGCGACCUACGAGCCACCGCGAACAUUUACAAGACCUGGCGUUGGCUACGCAUCUCGACGACAAUCGGCACCAAAGCUAACAGUGACAAGCCAUCAAUACUGCCCGUAGUCCGUCACAUUCGGUUCGUAACCCGAACAUCAUAAAGUCCUCGUGACUUUUGACGAACGCCUUCGACGUUAUGACCAACGACUCCGUGACCGCGGCUUGAUCACCAGCAAUUAGACCCAUAGUCUCAUUACGAGAACAUCGGCGACCGUCGCGAUAUAAUACCGCCGAGCCGUGGAAUAUUGGAACACUCACAGCGAGCUCCGGAAUCAGUAGUCAUCAACGAAGAAACGAGCCCCAACAGUGUCACGUAAAAUAGUCCUUUAUAAAAAGCAAUUUUAAUCGAGCGAAAUAAAUACAACGCGUGUAUUUUAGAUAUGGCCUGGCGGACAGUGUGAUUUUAUGACGUCACGCGUUUUACGCGAUUUAUAAAUAAACACCGAAUUGUAUAGUCCUUUAAGGGGCCUUGUCGUGGCUAUUAAAUAAUGGGCAACAUUUAGGCAAUUUGUAAGUUCGUCGCCUCCGCUCGGUGCUUAUGCGUUAAUUAUAUUUUUGUAAAGCUGAUUCCACUUCCCAAACUUAUGUUCCUGAAAUGGAGACAUGAGGAUUGUGACAAAACGUAAUUGCUGCAAAAAAAUUGGUGGCUUUUCACUCAGACAGCUUUAUUCAGAACAUGAAUAAUAAUUUUGUAGAGUCUUACAACAGCGUUGUAGCAAAAUUUGUAGGUGGAAAAAGAGUAAAAUAUUCCCUGCGAGCUGUAGUAUACCUAUCUCUCGAUGGUACACAAAAAGAUUAAUAAACAAUUCACACUAUUUUAAAUUUCUUUAUUAUUCACACAAACAAACACACAAAAAUAAGAACAUAUACCGUCUCUCACUCAAAACCAGCACUGUCCCUAUCCUGUGGUGCUUACGUCCUUAAAUAUUAUUUUACAAGGUGCUGCCUCAGCUCAUUUGCUUCAUUGGCCUAAUAUUACGCAAUUUAAACAAAGAAGUAACAUUUUUCUAUUAUUAUUUGUUGGCAAAUGUCACAUAGAUAAUAUGUAUAAUAAGAGUUUUUUUAGGUUCGUAUAACACUCUAUGUAUGACAACAGUUUCAUCGUUCAACUUUGGCCCAGAGUACAUGCGAAAGUUAUUUAAACGAGCAACUAAGGGAAGUCCUAGAAAGUUUACCAAACGGUUAAUUUCAAAAUUAUUAAAGAACAAGACCUACGCAAGGAGAACUCCAAAAAAUAGACUCAACUUUGAGCAAAAACAGUUACAAAGCAAAAAAUUUGCGGGGACCGAUACUGAUUACGGCGAUCUGUACAAUGAGUUGGGCUGUGAAGAGCUAUCGCUUUCAGCCGAGGAAGUGGAAGAGAAAAAAUUAGAAUUCUUAACUUCUUUGAUAAAAAGCGUAGAAGAAAUUCAGGAGCUACAAUAGAACAGGUCAAAAGUGACAUUUGGCAUAAAGAGUGGAAAUUUAGACUAACUAUCUCAAAUUUUGGACGUGUGUGCAAGCUUAGACCCAAUACCCCCUGAAAAAAUAUUGUAAAUUACAUUUUAUCCCAACAAAACAUAUAUAUAAAAUGAUAGCCAAGUUCAAUUAAAUAAUAUGCUUUGGUUGUUGACUUCAACGACAAAAGAAGUGAGAUCUAAAUGGAUGCCAAGUUUAAUGGUCAGUCCUGAAAUUUAUUUAUAACAACAUAAAAUAUAAUUUCUUCUUAUCACUUAGGAUAAUGUUUUGAAGCCUAAGGUCUGACUUGGCUAGUUUCCAUAUAUGAAUAAAAUUAUGUUAUAGCCUUCGCAAGUUCUAAAGUUGUAAGUUCUUUUUUAUCCUUCUAAAAAUUUGGCUUGCUGGUAGAAACUAGCUAUCGAACACAGUGCUCUUCCAUGACUGUUUUGGUUGGUACUUAAUAAUAAUUCGUAUAUGACGAUAUAUGACGUAUAUGACGAUUCGUAUAUUAAUAUCGUCAUAUACGAAUUAUUAUUAAGCAUCAACCAAAACAGUCACGGAAGAGCACUGUGUUCGAUAGCUAGUUUCUACCAGCAAGCCAAAUUUUUAGAAGGAUAAAAAAGAACUUACAACUUUAGAACUUGCGAAGGCUGUAACAUAAUUUUAUUCGUAUAUGGAAACUAGCCAAGUCAGACCUUAGACUUCAAAACAUUAUCCUAAGUGAUAAGAAGAAAUUAUAUUUUAUGUUGUUAUAAAUAAAUUUCAGGACUGACCAUUGAACUUGGCAUCCAUUUAGAUCUCACUUCUUUUGUCGUUGAAGUCAACAACCAAAGCAUAUUAUUUAAUUGAACUUGGCUAUCAUUUUACAUAUAUGUUUUGUUGGGAUAUCAUUACUUUUUUGUAAGUAAAUUAUUAAUAGCUAUUAAAUCAUAUUAAAAUAAUUUCCAAAUGGUUUUUAAUAAA